rnacentral:lncRNA from 1 species
UGGGCGCUGUAGUCCGGCCCCCUGAGGAGCGCGGGGGCUGACGGGACGUGUAGUCCCGGCCCUCAGGAGUAAAGAGCGCUCCUGCCCGCCUCAUCCCACUCCUUAAUGAUAUUUACUACUUAUUUAUUAAUUCUUCAUGUGCCCUGUUCAUUUUGGAGACACAUAUAAUUAUUCUUAGCUUAUCCAUCCUUGAGGUAAAAAGGUCCAGUGAAUGGGAAUGGAAAGCCAACAAACCAGAAUCUGAAAGCAGCCAAGUAGGGCGACCGCAUCCCACAGAUGUCCGGCAUGGAGAACCCGGGAGCUGCAGGACACGGCAGAGCCUCCCCGAGGUCAGCAGGAUGAGAAUAUCUGUGCAAAGAAGGGAUGGCUUCUCUGGGAUGGAUU